GGCUGGGAAGGGAGGAGCUGGGCACCUGGACCAGCUCCUCCCUGCAGGUGCCAGCUCCUCCCUUCCCAGUCAC
ensembl:miRNA